UACGAAGGGGGCUAGCGUUGCUCGGAAUCACUGGGCGUAAAGGGUGCGUAGGCGGGUCUUUAAGUCGAGGGGUGAAAUCCUGGAGCUCAACUCCAGAACUGCCUUUGAUACUGAAGAUCUUGAGUUCGGGAGAGGUGAGUGGAACUGCGAGUGUAGAGGUGAAAUUCGUAGAUAUUCGCAAGAACACCAGUGGCGAAGGCGGCUCACUGGCCCGAUACUGACGCUGAGGCACGAAAGCGUGGGGAGCAAACAGGG
rnacentral:rRNA from 1 species